rnacentral:rRNA from 1 species
AGCUCCAAUAGCGUAUACUAACGUUGUUGCAGUUAAAGCUCGUAGUUGGAUUCCUUUCGACUCUCAGUUUGAUCUGCCUUCGCGGCAGUUCUACUGUAGAGAAGAAAAUAUGUCUAACAUCCCCCGGUCAUUUAGUUAUGGUUGGGGUGGUGGAAGGCUCGUUUACUUUGAGAAAAUUAGAGUGUUCAAAGCAGGCAUUUUGCUUGAAUAUGUUAGCAUGGAAUAAUAGCAUAGGACUUAUCCGGUUCUAUUUGUUGGUUGUUUACGAACUGAAGUAAUGAUUGAUAGGGACGGUUGGGGGCAUCCGUAUUCUCAAGCGAGAGGUGAAAUUCUUGGACCUUGGGAAGACGAACAGCUGCGAAAGCGUUUGCCUAGGACGUUCUCU